GACCCGAUGGCGGAGGGCCGCAUCCGCAAUUUAUCCGCGAGAAGUUCGAGAUAUCAGCGGAAAACCCCCGUUCGACUCGGGGUCGGGUCA